rnacentral:tRNA from 1 species
UGGGGAUGUAGCUCAGAUGGUAGAGCGCUCGCUUAGCAUGCGAGAGGUACUGGGAUCGAUACCCAGUACCCUAA